CGGUCACAGUGACCGCCACCGUUGCCAAGGGAUGGGUCCCUGAGACUUGGCGAAGUGGGAGCCCUGUGUGAUCGUGCGUCAGAGUCGGGGCUGAGACCAGCCCCGGCCAGGGUAGUUACCGGGACGGUCUCCGGAGGCCGGGAUUCGCGGAGGGUCCACCAGCAGGAAGAAACCCCAGGAGGAAGAAACCUCAGACAGAUCGCCGGGGAGGCAGCGCGGGAUCCCAGCCUCAGGCGUGCGCGGACGGUGUGCGGGUCACAAAGCCUACUGCCUGCUAAUCGGCAAGUGGACCUGUUUCUCUAACAAUGGCCCGAAACUUCACAACAUCAAAGGAGAAAUCAUUGCCAGCAAAAGCAUUUCCGGGUAGUAGGAAAGAAUACAAGUGAAUAACAUUAGUCCAGAAGUUUUAAUAAUAUUCUUUGCUGGUUGAAAUUCAUGUUUAAUAUGAUGUAAAUUACUUGAUAAGCAAAUUAAGAACUAUGCUACUACAGACUCCAAAUAAGACGCAAGAAAAAUGAGGGGAAAUACAUUAAAGGAAGAUCUUAAAAAACAGCUGCACAGAAGAUAAAUUAUUUUUCCAGGAGUUUUAAACAUAGUUGCUUUUGUUUGUUUGCUUUGCUGUUUUUUCUUAAUAAUUGUUUUAGUAAGCUCAGGCUGCUAUAUAAAAAUAAGAUAGGCGCUGGUCUGAACAAUAGACAUUUAUUUCUUAUAGUUCUUGAACCUGGCAAGUCUGAGGAGGGUCAUCUUCUGGGCUUUCAAAGGGCUGCCUUUUUCCUAUGUACGUACAUAGCGAAUAGAAAGUGUUAGCUCUCUGGUCUCUUCCUGUAAGAGCACUAAUCCCAUCAUGAAGACCCCAUCCUUAUGGGCUCAUCUAAACCUAAUUACUUCCAAAGGUCCCACCUCCAAAUGCUAACACAUUGAGAGUUAAGGCUUCAAUAUAUUAAUUUUGGGGAAAC
rnacentral:lncRNA from 1 species